GAUGAACGCUGGCGGCGUGCCUAAUACAUGCAAGUCGAGCGAACAGACGAGGAGCUUGCUCCUCUGACGUUAGCGGCGGACGGGUGAGUAACACGUGGAUAACCUACCUAUAAGACUGGGAUAACUUCGGGAAACCGGAGCUAAUACCGGAUAAUAUAUUGAACCGCAUGGUUCAAUAGUGAAAGACGGUUUUGCUGUCACUUAUAGAUGGAUCCGCGCCGCAUUAGCUAGUUGGUUAGGUAACGGCUUACCAAGGCAACGAUGCGUAGCCGACCUGAGAGGGUGAUCGGCCACACUGGAACUGAGACACGGUCCAGACUCCUACGGGAGGCAGCAGUAGGGAAUCUUCCGCAAUGGGCGAAAGCCUGACGGAGCAACGCCGCGUGAGUGAUGAAGGUCUUCGGAUCGUAAAACUCUGUUAUUAGGGAAGAACAAAUGUGUAAGUAACUAUGCACGUCUUGACGGUACCUAAUCAGAAAGCCACGGCUAACUACGU
rnacentral:rRNA from 1 species